GAUGAACGCUGGCGGCGUGCCUAAUACAUGCAAGUCGAGCGAACAGACGAGGAGCUUGCUCCUCUGACGUUAGCGGCGGACGGGUGAGUAACACGUGGAUAACCUACCUAUAAGACUGGGAUAACUUCGGGAAACCGGAGCUAAUACCGGAUAAUAUAUUGAACCGCAUGGUUCAAUAGUGAAAGACGGUUUUGCUGUCACUUAUAGAUGGAUCCGCGCCGCAUUAGCUAGUUGGUAAGGUAACGGCUUACCAAGGCAACGAUGCGUAGCCGACCUGAGAGGGUGGUCGGCCACACUGGAACUGAGACACGGUCCAGACUCCUACGGGAGGCCGCAGUAGGCAAUCUUCCGCAAUGGGCGAAAGCCUGACGGAGCAACGCCGCGUGAGUGAUGAAGGUCUUCGGUUCGUAAAACUCUGUUAUUAGGGAAGAACAAAUGUGUAAGUAACUAUGCACGUCUUGACGGUACCUAAUCAGAAAGCCACGGCUAACUACGUG
rnacentral:rRNA from 1 species